UGGGGAAGUGCAAUGUUGUCGCAGAAAGGUUGUUCCCUCUCCAGAUCCAGUGGACGAAGGAACAGACCUCAGGAGAAUUACUUGUAAAAAUUGGCGCUGUACACAGGGAAGGAAGACUGAAAAGAGCAGUUGCAGCUCAUCAAGGAGACGACUGCAGUCCUGCCUGGCUUAGCAAGGGGAUGCUUGCGCCUUUCUCUCUUCCUCCUUCCCGGCUCAGCAGACUGGAUGAAUCUGUGAACGAAAGGAAGACCUGGAUGCCUUCACAUCCGCCACCCCUUCUUCAAACUGCUGGAAUCACAGGUUCCAGUGGGAGCUGUCCAUCACCCAUCAUCGGGGAACCCCGUCUGCUAUCAUGGACACAUAAUCCAGGCUCCUUCAAGCCUGGAGCGUAC